rnacentral:rRNA from 1 species
CAGGAUGAACGCUAGCGACAGGCUUAACACAUGCAAGUCGAGGGGUAACAGGGUAGCAAUACCGCUGACGACCGGCGCACGGGUGCGUAACGCGUAUGCAACCUGCCUAUAACUGGGGAAUAGCUCCCUGAAAGGGGAAUUAACACCGCAUAACACUAUUGAUUCGCAUGGAUUGGUAGUUAAAUGUAGCGAUACAGGUUAUAGAUGGGCAUGCGUGACAUUAGCUAGUUGGUGAGGUAACGGCUCACCAAGGCUACGAUGUCUAGGGGUUCUGAGAGGAAGGUCCCCCACACUGGUACUGAGACACGGACCAGACUCCUACGGGAGGCAGCAGUGAGGAAUAUUGGUCAAUGGGCGCAAGCCUGAACCAGCCAUGUCGCGUGCAGGAAGACUGCCCUAUGGGUUGUAAACUGCUUUUAUAGUAGAAGAAACACAUCUACGUGUAGAUGUCUGCCAGUAUACUAUGAAUAAGCAUCGGCUAACUCCGUGCCAGCCGCUGC